UUGAAACAUUGGUUUCCAUACGAUCACCGAAGUUAAGCAACAUCGAGUCUGGUUAGUACCUAGAUGGUGGCCGCUUGAGAGUACCAAGUGCUGUA